UGUAGAUAUGUGGUGAGCCUGUAA
rnacentral:siRNA from 1 species